rnacentral:rRNA from 1 species
AUUGAACGCUCGCGGGAUGCUUUACACAUGCAAGUCGAACGGCAGCGCGGACUUCGGUCUGGCGGCGAGUGGCGAACGGGUGAGUAAUGUAUCGGAACGUGCCCAGUAGCGGGGGAUAACUAAGCGAAAGCGUAGCUAAUACCGCAUACGCCCUACGGGGGAAAGCAGGGGAUCGUAAGACCUUGCACUAUUGGAGCGGCCGAUAUCGGAUUAGCUAGUUGGUGAGGUAACGGCUCACCAAGGCGACGAUCCGUAGCUGGUUUGAGAGGACGACCAGCCACACUGGGACUGAGACACGGCCCAGACUCCUACGGGAGGCAGCAGUGGGGAAUUUUGGACAAUGGGGGCAACCCUGAUCCAGCCAUCCCGCGUGUGCGAUGAAGGCCUUCGGGUUGUAAAGCACUUUUGGCAGGAAAGAAACGUCGCGGGCUAAUACCCCGUGGAACUGACGGUACCUGCAGAAUAAGCACCGGCUAACUACGUG